rnacentral:pre_miRNA from 1 species
AGCUUUUUGAAUCCGUGCGUAGAUAUUGUUAGACACCAGUCCAAUAAGACUCAUGAAACUCUCAAGAUAAGUGCAGCG